CUCAACUGGACUCAGGAGAGAGAGAGAAUAUGGUGACUCUGGUGCCCAGUGAUGGUUGAGAACCAUUAGAACCCACCUCAGGAGUUGUAAUGAGGGAAGACUUUCUAGAAGGAGUAACAGCUGAGUGGAGACCUGGAAAGCACACAUGCAGAAUCCAGGUAAAUAAAGAGGUCAGAUCUUGGCAUCCCACUUUGCUUCUCCAAUAACACCUAUGUAGGCCCCAGGACGUUGUAGUUACUCAAUGAACUCUUGUUAGAUAAUAAUGAUAAAAAUAAAAUCAUACUACUGUUAAGUCUUUGCAGCACAGCACAAGGCAGGGCCAUGUACACCAAAGAAUAGGCAAAAUAAAGAACAAAAUCUGUCUGGGCUUUAGUGUACUUUGAGGCAGAGAAUUGGAUAUGGAGGGUAGAGAUAAACAAGGCUGGAGAGGUUUUUCACAGAUUCAGAGGGCUCUAGAAAUGAGAAAAUCCUUGGCCAAUACCCGAUGCCACCACCUCAUGUCUCAUUUUCACAAAUGGGAAACUGAGGCUCAAUAUCGUGGUGAUUUCCCCAAGACUACAAAGCAAAUAAAUGGCCUGCAGGGCUCUAAUGACCAGCCCAGGACUCUUUACACAUCAUUUUUUCUUUCACUCAUGUUGUAUGAAAUGUCUAAGAGCAAUAAUCAGCCUCAUUAUGUACUUUGUCCAUGACAGCUACUGAGUAAAUAUCUCUUAAAUGACCCGCAAGGAAUUCCAUCGGAGAUGAUGUGAAAAGAAGCAUGUUUAUUUAAACAAACUUCUUCAGUGCUGGCUGAAUAACUCUUUAAAGCAUGUUCUCCUCAGCUUCCCAAACAGAUGACCCUUAUAUUUUCGGUCUUAGGGAAGGCCAGACAGUGUCCAGAUAGAACACUGGGAAAAUUCUUGUGGCAUUCAAUGGAUUAGAAGAAUGUUGUCUGCAUGUAUGAUUUUCUUCUUCCACUUAUAGGUCACAAUUUGAACAGGGCAUAGCUGGAAUUGCUGAUCUAUGCUCUACAAUGAUCGGGGCCUUAGGUGGAGUGGCUCUCAUGUCUGAAGUUGGCUGAGAUGGCUGGACUGGGGCCUUGGUGUGAGCUGUUGGUUGGGUUCACUUCCUUAGUUCAUCUCUAUAACAUGUCUGCUGGGCUGGAAUGUCCAUGAUGCCUUCUUCACUCACCUGUCUGCAACUUGGACUGGGAUGGCUGGAAUAGGUAGGGCCAUACAGGCAUGUAUUUCUCUUCUUCUCAUCCUUUAUCUUCCCCUUCCCUCCCUUCCUUUCCCAUCUCUUUUCUUUCCUUCCCUCUCUCUCUUCGUGUGACUUUUCCACAUGACUCCCCUGGGUUUCUUCACAGAGUGAUGAUCUCAGGAUAGUCAGACUUCUUACAUAGUGCCUGACUUCCCCUAGAAGGAACUUUCCAAAGAAGACAGUACCAAAAGGCCCACGUAGAAACUGAGAGACUUAUGACUCAGCCUCAGAAGUCCUGGGAUAUCACUUCUACUUUAUUCUAUUGGUCAAUCAAGUCGCUAAGGCCAGACGAGAUUCAAGGGGAUGGAAAGAAUAGAUUUGUUGCGAUUCAGCGUACAUGUACAGGAAAGGAAAGAAUUGAUGGCAGCCAUAGUGGAGAUAAUUCACCACAUUGCCUUUAUUUCUUGAAUUAGAUUUCUGUAACAGGACACUUGUUCAUACUCUUAGUUUUUUUUUUUUUAACAUUCUGUAUUCUAAAUUCCAGUGGUGCUAUCUUUUCAAAGUACCAAACAUCAUGGGAUUAAUAUUUUAUUGCCAAUUUUAAUUUUCUGUUUUGAUGCUAAGAUGCUGCUUUAAAUGGCUUACUUCAGGUUCAAAUCCACAAGUGUAAAGCAAUACCCUUGAUUUUUCAGGAAUUCUAAUCUCUAAACUUCUUCAAUUGUGCCUUUUUUCUCAGUGAUCCCCUCCAGCACUUAAUACUGUUUAUGCUAGGGCAUUUCAAAGUUUAAUAAAUCCUAUAAAUCCCAAGUACUAUAUUUGGGAGCUUUAAUUUUUCAAGUUCAGUGGUAUCCAACUAAAGUAGGGAGUUGAUCCAAUUAUCUGAUUCAUUUGGACUUUAAACCUAUACAACAGACAUGACCAGAUCUUAUAAUGUCACGUAGUCCCAGUUUGAUAUUAAGAAUGCAUAUAUCAUUUGAAGACUUCCCUUGGCAAUUUCAAUUAGAUUAUCAUACUGAGUGGGCACCAUGGAAACCUUUGAGCCAGUCAGAAUUGGUCUUUGAUGCUUUCAUAUUUUCUUUUAAGAAUUUUUCACUUCUCAAGACAUCCCACUUUUUGGCUUUCCAGGGUCCCUGAUAACAGUUCCCCCUCAUCGCAGUACAUUCCUCUGUAGGAGUUACCUGUGCUCACCAUGACAUAGAGAUACAUGGCCAUUUAUUAGGUCAGUGAUAAUGAAAGGUUUAAAUUGGUAUCAUCUUGGGAAUUCUGGGAAUAUUGUUUCUUUCCCUUAUAAGUGAUAGAAAACUCAACUCAAAUUAGCUUAAACCAAAAGGGAGUAUUUGUACCAGGCUAGGACUAGUUUAUUAAAUCUCUUGAGUUAGGUUCAAAGGAUGUCAGUAGGACCCAUUUCUUGCCUCUGCUUUCACUAGAGGUCUCCAUGUCAAGUCCUCGUGGGGACCACUUUCUCAACACGAUAUUUACAGAAAUAUUGAAAGGAAAGUCUUUUUGCCCAAUAGUUCAAGUGGAAUCCCCCAAACUGAGCAUCCCUGGCUCCAGUUGGUGUGAAUUGAGAUGGAUGCUCACAUCUGAACUUGUGGCCUGGGACAUUCUGGAAGGCACAGAUUGCCUUAGCUUAGGUGUAUGUUUCACUUUUGGAGCUGAGGGCUGGUAUCUGCUCCACCAGAGGCACAAGGACUGAAAUUCGGGGAGUGAAUUCCCCUCAAAGCAAACACAGGGUGCUCCUGACACCAGAGAGGGAGUGGAUGAUGGGCAGAAGCAUCAAUAACUAUCACAAAAUAAACAUAGCCCUGUCUUUUCUUUCUCUGUUUUAACUUUCCUCUCAGUAACACCAACCCUGCUGCUUUUACAUUCCCUAAGCACUUCAUUUUUGGUGAGUUGUCAAGAAAAAAUAUGGGCCUGCUCUGUGGCUGAGUGGUUAAGUUUGCACGCUCUGCUUUGGUGGCCCAGGGUUUGGUCAGGUCGGAUCCUGGGCACAGACCUAGCACUACUCAUCAAGCCAUGGUGAAGCGGCGUUCCCACAUAGUGGAGCCAGAAGGGCCUACAGCUAGAAUAUACAACUAUGUACCGG
rnacentral:lncRNA from 1 species